AGUGAACGCUGGCGGUAGGCCUAACACAUGCAAGUCGAACGGCAGCACAGUAAGAGCUUGCUCUUACGGGUGGCGAGUGGCGGACGGGUGAGGAAUACAUCGGAGUCUACUUUUUCGUGGGGGAUAACGUAGGGAAACUUACGCUAAUACCGCAUACGACCUACGGGGGAAAGCAGGGGAUCUUCGGACCUUGCGCGAUUGAAUGAGCCGAUGUCGGAUUAGCUAGUUGGCGGGGUAAAGGCCCACCAAGGCGACGAUCCGUAGCUGGUCUGAGAGGAUGAUCAGCCACACUGGAACUGAGACACGGUCCAGACUCCUACGGGAGGCAGCAGUGGGGAAUAUUGGACAAUGGGCGCAAGCCUGAUCCAGCCAUACCGCGUGGGUGAAGAAGGCCUUCGGGUUGUAAAGCCCUUUUGUUGGGAAAGAAAAGCAGCAGGUUAAUACCCCGCUGUUCUGACGGUACCCAAAGAAUAAGCACCGGCUAACUUCGUG
rnacentral:rRNA from 1 species